rnacentral:rRNA from 1 species
GAUGAACGCUGGCGGCGUGCCUAAUACAUGCAAGUCGAGCGAACAGACGAGGAGCUUGCUCCUCUGACGUUAGCGGCGGACGGGUGAGUAACACGUGGAUAACCUACCUAUAAGACUGGGAUAACUUCGGGAAACCGGAGCUAAUACCGGAUAAUAUAUUGAACCGCAUGGUUCAAUAGUGAAAGACGGUUUUGCUGUCACUUAUAGAUAGAUCCGCGCCGCAUUAGCUAGUUGGUAAGGUAACGGCUUACCAAGGCGACGAUGCGUAGCCGACCUGAGAGGGUGACCGGCCACACUGGAACUGAGACACGGUCCAGACUCCUACGGGAGGCAGCAGUAGGGAAUCUUCCGCAAUGGGCGAAAGCCUGACGGAGCAACGCCGCGUGAGUGAUGAAGGUCUUCGGAUCGUAAAACUCUGUUAUUAGGGAAGAACAAAUGUGUAAGUAACUAUGCACGUCUUGACGGUACCUAAUCAGAAAGCCACGGCUAACUACGUG